rnacentral:rRNA from 1 species
GACGAACGCUGGCGGCGUGCUUAACACAUGCAAGUCGAGCGGUGCGGCGAACGGGUGAGUAACUCGUGAGUAACUGCCCCCCUCUCUGGGAUAACAGUUGGAAACGGCUGCUAAUACCGGAUAGUGGGGGAUGACUCGGGUCCUAUCAGCUUGUUGGUGGGGUAGUGGCCUCCCAAGGCGACGAAUGGUAGCCGGCCUGAGAGGGCGACCGGCCACAGUGGUCUUAGAUACGGCCCAAUCUCCCACGGGAGGCAGCAGUGGGGAAGAUUGCACAAUGGGGGAAACCCUGAUGCAGCAACGCGCGUGCGGGAUGACGGCCUUCGGGUUGUAAACCGCUUUCAGCCAUGACGCGGUAGUGGCAGAAGAAGCACCGGCUAACUACGUGCCAGCAGCCGCGGUAAUUC